CUUGGAGAAGUGGCAAGUCUUCCAGUAUGGGGAGCAAAACAGCUAUGGGUCAAGUCCGAUAUCUUUAGGAGAAGUCUUAUUGUGAGGGCGAGUUAUAUAACACCAUAGGACUGGCCGUCCCAUAUGAAAAGAUUAUAUUAGAAUUGAAUGAAGCUUUGUUUAUAUAUUGAUAAUGACAGUAUAUAUAUCGUGUCUUGACUAAUUGCGUGCCAGCAGUCGCGGUAAUACGUAAGAGACUAGUGUUAUUCAUCUUAAUUAGGUUUAAAGGGUACCCAGACGGUCAAUAUAGCUUAUAAAAUGUUAGUACUUGACUAGAGUUUUAUGUAAGAGGGCAGUACUUGAGGAGGAGAGAUGAAAUUUCGUGAUACCAAAGGGACUCUGUAAAGGCGAAGGCAGCCCUCUAUGUAAAAACUGACGUUGAAGGACGAAGGCACAGAGAACAAACAGGAUUAGAUACCCAAGUAGUCUUUGCAGUAAAUGAUGAAUGCCAUAGGUUAGAUUGAUCAAUUAUAGUCUAGGGUUAGUCUAGCAAACUAAUGCCCUAUGAUAUAAUUCAAAAUAUCUGGUCUAUAAAUGAAAGUGUAAGCAUUUCACCUCAAGAGUAAUGUGGCAACGCAGGAACUGAAAUCACUAGACCGUU
rnacentral:rRNA from 1 species